AUCCAGCUGAUGAGUCUCACAUAGGACGAAAUGCGCAUCCUGUUU
rnacentral:hammerhead_ribozyme from 1 species